rnacentral:misc_RNA from 1 species
GAUGAAGAACGCAGUGAAAUGCGAUAAGUAAUGUGAAUUGCAGAAUUCAGUGAACCAUCGAAUCUUUGAACGCACAUUGCGCCCGGCAGUAAUCUGCCGGGCAUGCCUGUCCGAGCGUCAUUUCUCCCCUCGAGCGCAGCUUUCCCCCCCCGGGGGAGGGCCGCGCCCGGUGUUGGGGCGCUACGGAGGAGCCCAGCGCUCCCCCGUAGGCCCCGAAAUGUAGUGGCGGUCCCGCCGCGGCGCCCCCUGCGUAGUAGUUUUACAACUCGCAUCGGGUCCCGGCGGAGGCCAGCCGUCAAACCCCCCAACUUCAAUAGUUUGACCUCGGAUCAGGUAGGGUUACCCGCUGAACUUAAGCAUAUCAAUAAGCGGAGGA